rnacentral:rRNA from 1 species
CCUACGGGAGGCAGCAGUGGGGAAUAUUGGACAAUGGGCGAAAGCCUGAUCCAGCCAUGCCGCGUGUGUGAAGAAGGCUUUCGGGUUGUAAAGCACUUUCAGCGAGGAAGAAAGCGUGCCGUUUAAUACACGGUACGGACGACAUCACUCGCAGAAGAAGCACCGGCUAACUCCGUGCCAGCAGCCGCGGUAAUACGGAGGGUGCAAGCGUUAAUCGGAAUUACUGGGCGUAAAGCGCGCGUAGGCGGCGUGUCACGCCGGGUGUGAAAGCCCCGGGCUCAACCUGGGAACGGCAUCCGGAACGGGCAGGCUAGAGUGCAGGAGAGGAAGGUAGAAUUCCCGGUGUAGCGGUGAAAUGCGUAGAGAUCGGGAGGAAUACCAGUGGCGAAGGCGGCCUUCUGGACUGACACUGACGCUGAGGUGCGAAAGCGUGGGUAGCAAACAGGAUUAGAUACCCUGGUAGUCCACGCCGUAAACGAUGUCGACUAGCCGUUGGGUCCCUUGAGGACUUAGUGGCGCAGUUAACGCGAUAAGUCGACCGCCUGGGGAGUACGGCCGCAAGGUUAAAACUCAAAUGAAUUGACGGGGGCCCGCACAAGCGGUGGAGCAUGUGGUUUAAUUCGAUGCAACGCGAAGAACCUUAC